GCUAACCCUAAAACACUACCAACACUCGCCGCCAUCUACUGCUUUUUGCCCAUCGGCCAAAAAUGGAGGAAAACUUUGUGGGAAGUGGCUGCUGCACUUGGCCCUGCAACAACAGGACAUGGCAACUCGGUUGCGAUUUCGUGCAACGACGAUAGUAAGGUUAUGAUUUCAUCGGCGACGUCAGAAUGCAAAUGGAGCAAACUCCAUCGGUUAUACCUCUUGCCUUGAUUAGGUGCUUUGAUUGAAUUUCGGCAACGAAAUCACAUCUCAAAGAUGAAUAGUCCUUCACCAAUUCAACGAGUCAAAUCCCCCCUUGAGCAGAUCUUCCUCUCGCAUAAACAAAGACUAUUCUCAAUUGCCAAAGCACCAAAAGUUCCAGCUGCCUCUUCAUCUCUACUUGGAUGCAUUAAUAAAGGAGAUAAGUGAGCAGUUUUUUACACUAUAGUUUUGUGAUAACUGCAUGUUCACUACCCCACUAUCAAUAUUUCUCACUCGUCCAAGUAAGUCACAAAGACCAAAUAUCCAUAAAGACUAAAUAAGAACAUCCAAUACAUACUUGAGUAAAAAUAAUUCAUACGAAAACAAGCAUUUUAAGCAAUCAAAACUAAGAAAGUUAUCACACUUCACAUAGCUGCUCAUCAAAAUAAAUUAGAAAUAUCAAUAUUUUGUAUUUAUCUCAAAUUAAAUUAUUUACGAAUAUCUAUAAUAUCUUCUAAUGACUCUUAUGUCGAAAGCAUAUUCAAUAUCUCUAAUCAAUACAAUUAUUCACAAUCACAAUUUAUGUAAAUAAAAAAAUAUAAUUGAUCGACUAGUAAACAAAUAUCAAAGAUGUAAAUUUAUUUUAUUCUUUCUUUUUAGUUAGAAUAUAUUCAUUCUAAUCAUUUGCUAUUUUAGUUAUGCUCCAUAGACCGAAUCAUCCAUUCAUUAUGAUACAUGCUAAAAUAACAUACACUAAUAAAACUUCAAGUAGAUAGCUAAAUAGUCACUAAGGGUAAAAUCGAGAUUAUCUCAUAAUUUUAAGGGUCUCACAUAGCAGAGAAGCAUAGAUUCAUUCUCCUAUCACCCUAUUAUCGCUAUUGCACAUAUGGUAUAAAUCACAUGCUACAAUAUUUUUCUCUUUACUAAUAAAGAGUGUAUGUAUUUCUCAAUUUUGACAUUGUAUAGAUUUUAAUCUAGACAUCCUAAUGUCUAAUCCUGAAUUUAACUCAUGAAUUAUAAUUUAACCUCCAGUAAGUUCAGUAAAUGGUGGUUACAUUUACUCUCAUCAUCAUCAAUUUAUAAAUGAUCUCAUCUUUAUACAACUAUCAAGGUGAGCCCAUCUUACAGGUAUCCAACCCUCUUGAGGAUGACCGGUCUAGCCCUCGGGCUAUGGGGCAAGAUCGUGCCACAAGAGUUGGUGCAGAAACCCCAGCUAAUGUAGUAGAAGAGAUAAAUUUAUACGAUGAAAAGGAUGAGAUGUUUGAGCGUGAAAUUGACGAAUAGGCUGAAGGUCGCAAAGAUGAAGAAUAUGUUAGAGAUGAACCAAGGAAAUCUGAGAUGGAGACUCUAGAUUCAUCAAUUUGUCCAUCAAGCAAGAAGCUAACCACUAGAAGAAAAAAAUAGAAAGUUUGAUGAUGUUCUAGAUGACUUUGUAGAAGAGAUUCACAAAUAUGUUAUUGCUAUUACAGAUGCUAAUGAGGAGAUGAAGGGAAUUUCCAUCUAUGUCAAGAAAUAAAUCGAGAGCAGUGAUAGAAAAAUAAGGAUAUAUGAUGUGUUAAUGGAACUUUCUGAGUUCUUUCAGCAAGAAAUUAUAGAUGUCGAGAGUACAUUCUCAAGAAUGAACACAAGGUUAACAACUUAUUUAUAUUACCAAAGGUAUUUAGGAGAGAUUAUGUGGUGAAGUAGCUCUAUGAGAUCAAUCCAAAAUGAAUUAGAGAUUUGAAUUAUAUUAUUGGUACUUAUAUUUUGAUUUACUUUGGACCGUCAUGAUAUUAUUUUGGACAAAACUUAUUAGAUGAAUGUCAUUAUGGAUUGAACUUGUUGUAACCAAUUGCAUUAUGUGACAAUGAAUUAGAUAUUAAAAUACAUUGUGACAAUGAACAGUGUUCCUAAUAGUUUGUCUUUUGGAUUGAACCAAGGAUUAUACAGGAAAUGUUCAAGUAGAUUAUAUUCCCCAUAAUAUACCCAAAUGUAUUAAAACUUUUAAAUAAAUAAAUUUUUAUUGUACUAGUUGAAUCAAAUAACAUUGGAUUAUUUUAUUCCUCAUAAUAUACCCUAAAUGUAUUGAUUUUUUUCUUAUAUGUCUAAUAGCUUUAGACAAGCUUAGAGAGGAAGCUUCAGAGGUAGACAGGCGAGGCAAGAAGGUAACGAGGGAGUUGAUCAGCGAAGAUGGUAAAGGACAAACGAGAGAGUUAGAACGAGUGAUGGAAAUGUUUGAGUUUUUUUUUUUCUGAGAAGUGAACUAAAAUCUAAAUGGAUUGAUUUUGUUCAUGCCCGCUCGUCCGACGAGCGACGAAUGGAUCUGAAAACAUUCAAAACCCAGAUGAACACUAAAUUAGGGAGAGGAUGGCAAAUGUACUGGGGUGGGUAUCUUUUGACAAUAAAGUAAAAAGGAUGCCCUUUUAAA